rnacentral:rRNA from 1 species
GACGAACGCUGGCGGCGUGCUUAACACAUGCAAGUCGAACGGAAAGGCCCUGCUUUUGUGGGGUGCUCGAGUGGCGAACGGGUGAGUAACACGUGAGUAACCUGCCCUUGACUUUGGGAUAACUUCAGGAAACUGGGGCUAAUACCGGAUAGGAGCUCCUGCUGCAUGGUGGGGGUUGGAAAGUUUCGGCGGUUGGGGAUGGACUCGCGGCUUAUCAGCUUGUUGGUGGGGUAGUGGCUUACCAAGGCUUUGACGGGUAGCCGGCCUGAGGGGGUGACCGGCCACAUUGGGACGGAGAUACGGCCCAGACUCCUACGGGAGGCAGCAGUGGGGAAUAUUGCACAAUGGGCGGAAGCCGGAUGCAGAAACGCCGCGUGCGGGAUGACGGCCUUCGGGUUGUAAACCGCUUUCGCCUGUGACGAAGCGUGAGUGACGGUAAUGGGUAAAGAAGCACCGGCUAACUACGU